ACCAAUCAUUCAUAGGGAUGUCAAGUCUACCAACAUACUCUUGGAUGAUAGUUACACUGCCAAAGUAUCCGAUUUUGGAGCUUCGAGAUUGGUUCCACUAGACCAAGCCGGGAUAUCAACGGUGGUUCAAGGGACCCUCGGAUACCUGGACCCUGAAUACUUGCAGACAAGUCAGCUGACAGAGAAAAGUGAUGUUUAUAGCUUUGGGGUAGUCCUUCUAGAGCUACUGACCGGACAAAAAGCACUUUGUUUUGAAAGGUUAGAGGAGGACAGAAAUCUUGCAAUGUAUUUCAUUUCAGCUUUGAAAGAAGAUCGCUUGGUGCAAAUUCUUGAGAAGUGCGUAGUGGAUGAAGCAAAGAUAGAGAUGGUUGAGGAAAUUGGUAGCCUUGCAAGGAGGUGCUUAAGAGUGAAAGGAGAAGAAAGGCCCACAAUGAAGGAAGUCGCAAUGGAGUUGGAGGGGUUGAGAAUGAUGCUGGAGCAUCAUCCAUGGGUAAACAACGAUGAGUCGAGGUUAGAAGAGACUGAGUAUUUGCUCGGUGAACCAUCGUUGAAAAUUGGUUCUAAUAGCGGUAUGAAUAAUGUUACAUAUGAUAGCAUCACAGAUCAUAUAAUUUUACAAGUUGGUCAUGGAAGAUAAUAGUUUCAAUCUUUCACCUCAGGAUAUUUAUUUUCUAAACUUACAAAUCUUUUUGUUUGUAUUUAAAAAAAAUAUACAUUGUAAAUUUUCUAAUUUUAUAUCUUCUUUUUUUUUCCAAAGUCAUCCAACGUUAUGUCAUUGCUAUCAAAUUAUAUUACCAUUUUAAAUAUUUUUAUAGAAAUAUAAUUAAAUUAGUCGCCGUUAUAUUACAUCAAUAUUAAAUUUAAAUUCAAAAUAUAAAUAAAUGUAAUAAAACUUUAAAACAUAAUAUCAAUAAAAAAUAAAUAUGCAAUCAUUCUGUAUUUUAAUUUUUCUAUAUUUACUUACACUCGAAUUGUUUAAAAUAUGAAUAUUAUAAUAUUUUACUAUAAAAUCAUUAAUUAAUUUGAUGUAAUAAUUUUAAAUAUAUAUAAUUGUUAAUUUAAUUUUUUAAAUUAUAAAUUUUAAUAUAAAUAUAUAAUUUCAAUUGGAUAUUAUAAAGAUUAUGAUAUUUAUAUAAAUACAUAUAUAUUUUUACUUUGUUAACAAUUAGUCAAAAAAUUGACAAUUGUAAUAAUAAAAUUUACAAAUCUAUUUUAUUAUCAAUUUUUAAUAUUUUUAUGUUUUAUCAUUUAUUAUUUUAUGCAUAAUAUUUUUAUCUUGUAUUGUAAAUUAUUUAUUACUACUUUUAUGUUUAUGCUAUUAAUUGAUUAUAAAAUAUUAUUACUUAUAUAAGUUGAAAUUUAAUUAUAAGUUGAUAAAAUUUUAAUUUAAAACAUGCAAAUUAAUGAAUUAAUCAAUGAUUUCACUUUUUUUGGUAGUUCAAUAAUAAAUUAAAAAGCAGCUCUAAACAUAACACUACCUGCCAUAUCGGCUUUAACAAACUGGAGCAUAAAGCUCGACAUAGACAACAUAGCCUUUAGAAGAGUCUCUUACAAAGCAAACUAGGAGUGCUGCCCUUUCUAGCCAGUACAUCAAGGCAACUAUUUCCCUCCCUGAAAUUAUAAAGCAAUCAACUAUUCUGGAAGGUCUCCAAUAAAGUCUUGCAAACAUUCACCAAGGUGUUGCAAAGCAAAUUUGAACAAGAUUGAUUCUUAAUAAUAACUGUAGUAGCAUCAACUUCCACAAUAAUAUCAACAAUGUUCAAAUUUUUAGCAACAGUGUUUGAAGAAUAGUUGAGAAAUCUAUGACAACCAGACACCCAUCUUCCUUGGAAAUCUCGAAUUAGAGCUCCACGCCAGCUCCUGCUGAACCAGGAUUUCCUAUCGAAAAACCGUCACAAUUAAGUUUGAACCACCCAAUCUCUUGUCCAUUUCACUUUGAUGAAUCUUGGCAUAUUUGUAUCCUUGAUCUUAUUGGAGAUGGAAAAGAUCUCAGUUGCAUUAGCAAGAGCAGUUGGGAUAAUCAAAUCAGGAGUGUACUGUUUUCCAAAGACUUAAUCAUUCCAACCAACUAAAUAUUUCUCAAUAUAGAUUUUUUUUUUUUUGCCUGGUGUAAAAACAUUUUGCUAAAGAGUUCACUUCAAUCCGGUCUUGAAAAGGAAGGUUGAAGGUAGAAAGAAGUUGGGGUGAAAUUCCCAAUCUUGACCAGAUUAAUUUCAAAAACAACUUGAGAGUCUCAAAGGAUAUAUAUGGUUAAGUGUGUCUGUAGUCUGUACCCGUUGCGUAAAAGGGCCAACAAUCCUGCAAGUUUAAGGAAAAAAACUAUGGGAAGGAUGAGGUGAGCGACCUCCCAUACGAAAAAGGUGAUUUGGGGGAUAAGAUUGAUUUUCCAUAUUGAUAACUUGUUUUAGUAUAGUUUUUUUUUAUAGUGUUUUAGGAGGUUAUUUUAGCAAUUACUUUAGUUUUUAGUGCAUUUUAUAGUUUUUUUAUAUUAAUUAUUUUUUAUUUGAUUUUCAUUUUUAGAUCUAGUUGGAUUUAUUUAUUAUUUUUUCUCUAUAUUAUAGGUUUUGAAUGAAGAACAAAAUGUUUGGAGUAUAGAAUGAAAAAAUUGUGAAAAAAAGUCUUCCGCUCCACCAAAUAUCGAUGUGGUGGAGCACAAUCUUCACUUCAGAAUUUUAAAACAUCAAGCAAUUUGCUCCACUGCACUUCUGUGUUUGGAUGAGCAAAACGAUUAAAACUCUAAAAAUAAGGGGUAACGUGAUUUAAGAGAAAAGAGGGGGAAAAGCGUAAAAGAAAUAAACUUUGAGGCUAAGAGGAGAAGAAAAAGAGAUUCGGAGCACUAAACACUAAUUCAAUAAUUAUUUUUCUCUCUAAAUUAUUUCUUUUUACUUUAUCUUAAUGCAAGUUUGUUAUGAACUUUUUCUUGUAAUGCUUUCUCAAAUCAACAUGAAUUAAAUUAUAUUUUCUUGAAACAAUAAUGAAUCUGAUUUGUAGUUAAUUAAUUUAUUUUCUCUUCAAUUAUUUCGAUCCUUGUUAAUUAUUUAUUCAACCCCAUGCAUUUUUAAUCUACUUGUCUGGCCAUAAAGUUGUAUUAAUUUGAUAAUCUUGAUUUGUCUUGGAAGAGAAAAUUAAUGUUUAGAUCUAGAUUGAACAGAUUAGGAUUAAAUGUAGUAGCAUUGACGAACUAGUUAAUUUGAGGCUAAAAUAAGAAAAUACCCGAUGCCCUAAUCAACCCAAUAUGUUUGAUCAUAGUGAUUUCACCCAACUUGCUUAGCAUAGGAAUAUAGCUAGCAGAGAAGGGGAAUUAGCUUAGCUAGAUACUGGAAGGGUCUAGUUAAUGUCAUUGAAUCAUGUGUUAGUAAUUAAAUAGAUUCAACAAUUGACUGAGAGAUAAUUUAUUAAUGGAAUUAAGUGAAUUUAGAGCUCCAAAAUCUUAAAAUUGACAGAAAAACUUAGUAAUUUUCAUUGUUUUAGUUUAAUAAAAAUCUCUUUAAUUUGUUUAGUUUAAUUUUAGCAGUAAUUAUAAUUUAUUUUUCUUGAUCCAGAUUUAAUAAAAUUGAAUAGUUGGUACUUAGCAGUUUAAAAUUUAAGCUUCGUGGGACGGUAUUUUUUUUAUUACUUAAUUACUUAAUUCCACAUGUGCAUUUGUGUAACGGAAUUUCAGACAUUACAUAUCCAGCUCCAGUCAUUACUGAAUUUUAUGUUGUUGUUUCCUUUAUACCAAGGGCCAAUAGCUAUGCAGAUUCCAAAGAGCUAGAAGAUCCCGGUAGAAGUCAAAUUCAAUCCAAGAAUAUCCUUGCCUCUGCGAAAAGUGGAAGUUGAGAUAGCAUUUAGAACACUUGGAGAGGUGAGUUUUUCUUCAUUGAAUUUAAAGGGUUAGCAAUGAAUGAUCGAAGGGAAUUGAGCCCGACCAAUUUUCGUUCCAAAGAUUAACAGAGGUACCAUCCUUAGACGAUCCAUUUGAAGCAUCCCCAAAGUAACCUUGAAUGCUUUUGAGAGCAUUCCAGGUGAUAGAGGGCUGUGAGGAAUGUGAAAGUUCUUGAAGAUACUUUAAUUUUAGGAUUUUAGCCCAAAAAGAUUUAGAGUUGUGUAAUAAUCUCUAGCAUAAUUUGAGAAGUUGGGCUUUGUUUUGAGCUCUCAUACGUGAAAUCUUUAAUUACUCUAACUUUUUAAGUUUUGUGACAGUCAACCGAUUGAUUCUAUAUGAUUUAAACAAAAAAUUGUGGUUGAUUUGAUUGAUUGAAGAAUAGAUACUACUAGGAAGCUUUAAUAGUACGAAGUAUUUUUAAAUUUUAAAAAACAAAAAAUAUUUUUUAAAAAAUAAAUUAGAAAAAAAUAGAAAGUAUUUAAUAAAUCAAACGAAGCCUAAGAGUUGAAAUUUUAAAUGAUGAACUCUUAAUGUUAAAUUAGGGAUAAGUCACUAACUAGUGUUGAGUGUGAACUUUCAAGUAGAGAAUGCAUAUUUGAAUAUUGGAGACAAUAUUGUAAGGAUGGGCAGCCACAAGCUUCGAAAAUGAAUUACAAAAUGAAUAUGGAAUAUGCAAAAAAAUUUUGAUGUCGUUUUUAGCUUGUAAGUGGAUUAGAUGUACAUGCAAAAAGAGAAAAGGAAGCUAAUUGUGAAGUGUUGUGCAAUAGUUGCUCACCUCAUCUCAUCCCAUAAUCAUGUGAUCAGAAAUUUAAUCCUUACUCAUAAGAGUUUAACCUUUGAAAUAUCCUCUAAUGCUUAAAUAAGUGAACGUGAGAAAGGGGAGGAAGAUAUGAAUAUGAAACAAAAGGUCAACAGACCUAGCUCUAUGAUUACCAUGCAUAUUUAUAGACUUCUUUCUCUCUGCCUUGGGUUGAUUUAGCAGGUGCUCAAAUCUUCAUUUUCAAAUUAAACGAGUUAGAAAAACCAAGUUACAUAAAUUGAAAUUUAGGUACUAAAUUUUAAAAGUUUGACAGGUAUUAGAAUUGGAGUAUAAUUAUACGUUAUAUUUAUUGAAGACUAUGCUGAAACUUCUGGGGAGGUGGUUGCAUGGGAAAUUUGCAAUCAACAACUCUAAUAAACUGUUUGGGUGUUGAAUAUGGAAUUAGUCUAUCCAAUUGUGUUACUUUAUGAAUGCCAGAGAAAUGCCAGAGAAAUUUUCCACGCCCUUGCCUUCAAGAGCACAAAGAGAAAUGAAGGAAGCCACGAUUAGUUUUACAUUAAAUUGUACCCACAUAAGGUCAGAGUUGUGCACUCUCUCAUGUUCUAUUGAUCCCUUGUGGGUAAACUUGAUUUGGGGAAGAUUACUUUUCAAGAACGUAAUUGAAAGAAAUUAUAGGAUAAACGAGUUUUUUUUAGUUUAUUAGCUUUUAACUCCAUUUUACGAAUAAUCAACAGAAGAGAAAGGAAAGGGUCUACGCUGCAUUAAAGAUGAUUAAUAAGGAAAGAGUCUAUGCUGGCCUAACUCAUAAACAUGAUUGGUGUUUCCCAUUUAAACCAACUUUGAAUCUUUAAAUAAGCAUUGCUAUAAAUAUGAAACCAAUAUUUUUAUUCAAGCAAUAGCCGAGGAAAACACCAGAGGUCAUGGGUGUGGAUCGUAUGUGUAAGGAGUUUGCUCUGCUUUCACUUAAGUUAACAAUUAUAGCAACCUGGGUAGCAGCGCAACCAAAACCGGAGUGCCAAAGCAACUGCGGGGAUAUCAGCAUCCAUUAUAGGGAACAGGCAAUGGGUGCAACAUCAGCAGCAACUUUUUCAUUCGUUGCGACACCACUUCCAACCCCCCAAAAGCAUUCUUAAGUUCCACUGAUAUUGAAGUUCUCCACAUCUCUCUAGAUGGUUAUUUGCGCAUCCAACAAACAGUAGGUUUUGACUGUUAUAAUUCAUUAGGACGCAGUUCAUAUGGCGAGUCAUAUUCACUUUCAAACUUCCCCAUAUCUAAUACCAGAAACAAGUUCACAGCCAUUGGUUGUGAUACCUAUGCUCUCAUUGAGGGUACCUUGGGACAUACGUAUUCAACCGGGUGUGUAACAUUCUGAAGUGACGUGGAGGAUGGGAUAAAUGGGCCUUGCAGCUAUCCCUAAAGGAGUGAGGAAUUAUGUCUUAAAUUUUGAUACCCGUCGGAAUCAUUCCAGUGUAUUGGACUUCAAUCCUUGUAGUUAUGGAUUUGUUGUGGAAGAUGGAGCCUAUAAUUUCUCUGUUUCAGAUCUUUCCAAUGUAAUUUCAACACAACGAAAUUCCCAAUCAUUCUUGAUUGGACAAUUGGGAACCAAAAUUGCACUGAAGCUAAAUUGGAUCCAAAAAACUAUGCUUGCAAGGAAAAUAGUGUUUGUAUAGAUCCAGAAAAUUAUAAUUGCAAGGAAAAUACUAGUUGUAUAAACCCUGGAUAUUUGUGCAAGUGUCUUGAUGGCUUUCAGGGUAACCCUUACCUCUCCUAUGGCUGCCAAGGUAAAGAUAUCAACUUCUUUUUCAUUCCAGAUUCAUUUUGAUGAAUACUUUUAAUUUUGUUCCCAAUAUAUUUUUUUCUGCUUUAAAAUGUUUGAAAAUUUGUAGAUAUUAAUAAAUGCAAGACACUGAAGCCUUGCAAUGAAACUGCAACAUGUGAUAACGUAGCUGGAAGUUAUUAUUGUUCAUGUCCUGAGGGAUUUGAGGGGGAUGGCCAGAAAAAUGGAAAAGGGUGCAGUCCUAAAGUCAAAUCACACCAGAGUUUUCCCACUCUUCUUGUUGCAUUAGGUUGGUUGGUAUAAAAUGUUGAUUUCUUUUUAUUUGGUAAAUACUUUGUGCAAACAUAUUAAUACUGAGAUGAAACUAAUCCAAAUUUAAACCGAUUUAAUUGGUCUAAAUAGUUUUCAUAUUCUGAUUAAUACAUCAUUGUUAAUGUUGGAUGGAAUUAAUCCUUUAAUUUGUUUUGGAUUAAAAUCCAUCCAACAUCAUUAUUAAUUUCUCAUGGAAAAGAACUAUAUGAAAAUUAAUAUUGUGAUGUAUGUUUACAAAACAUAUCAGACCCAGGUUUACAAAGUUUAGGCAAACAUUAAUGAGAUAUGGAUAUUAAAGCUUAUCAGUUUUAAUCCAUACAAAGUUCAAUUGAAACUAUAAAAAUGGAGCUUCUUUUUUUUUUUUUUUAAAUUACAAUUUCUAGUCUCAUAUUGUUACAGGUAUAGGCAUUUUAUUUUCGCUCUUAUGCUCCCCAAGGGUGUAUUUGGGGCUGAGGCAGAGAAAGCUCAACAAAAUGAAACAAGAAUACUUUUAGCAAAAUGGUGGGAUUUUGUUGCGGGAACACCUUUCACGAUAUAAAGAAUACGGUGAGACAGCUAAACUCUUUACAGCCGAACUCAAGAAAGCGACAAACAACUACCAUGAAAGUAGAAUCCUUGGAGGAGGAAGUCAAGGUACUGUUUACAAAGGAUUGUUGCCUGAUGGUGGCAGUGUUGCCACCAAAAAGUCCAUCAUUGGAGAUCAAAGCCAAGUUCAACAAUUCGUUAAUUAUUGUGUUAUCCCAAAUCAACCACAGAAAUGUGGUGAAAUUGUUGGGAUGUUGUUUGGAGACACAAGUCCCUUUGCUAGUCUAUGAAUAUGUAAGCAAUGGAAGCGUCUUCGAUCACUUACACAAUGCCGAUCAUGAGUCUUUCAUAUCAUGGGAAGCUCGUUUGAAAAUAGCCACAGAAGCAGCAGAAGCCCUUUCCUAUUUGCACUCUGCUGCAUCUCCGCCUAUUAUUCAUCGUGAUGUCAAGUUAGCCAACAUACUUUUAGAUGAGAACUACACUGCUAAAGUAUCUGAUUUUGGUGCUUCGAGAUUGGUCCCUUCAAAUAAAGAACAAAUCACAACGCUCGUGCGGGGAACUCUGGGCUAUUUGGACCCAGAAUAUUUUCAAACAAGUCAGUUGACUGAAAAGAGUGAUGUUUAUAGUUUUGGAGUUGUUCUCAUAGAAUUACUAACAGGUUUGAAAGCAAUUUCUUUCGAAAGACCCGAACAUGAGAGGAAUUUGACUCUCUACUUUAUUGCUGUUAUGAAAGAGGAACGCUUGCUAGAUAUUACUGAUGGACAAGUGCUGCAUGAUAACAACAUUGAACAACUUAAGAAGUGGCAACUUUAGCUAGGAGAUGUGUGAGAGUGAAGGGAGAGGAAAGGCCAACUAUGAAGGAAGUGCGUCUGAGUUAGAAGCAUUGCGAGCAUGGAGAAAGCUCAAGGAGGAAGAGGCUGAAUACUUGCUCGAUGACUUUUAUGACACUAUUGUAUAUAAUAUAUAGAUACUAUGGUGAAUGUACCUAAGAACUAGAGGUGAUCAUGGGUUGGGCUACUCGGCCCGGUCCGAUGAUCCGUCCAAAAAAUGAGAGGGUUUGGGUAAAAAUAUAGACCCGAAAUAUGGGUUUGGGCAAAAAAACGAGGCCUGUUUAGAAAACGGGCUGGGCCUCGGGUAAAAUAUUUUUGGCUUGGGCCCGGCCCGAAUUAUAUAUUAAAUAUAUAUAUUUUUAUUUUUAAUCAAAUAUAUUUUUAUUUUUAAUCAAAUAUAUUUUUUGUUUUUAAUUUAGAUUAUAUUUUGUAGGUUUUUGAUGAUAUUUUGGUGUUGUAAAAUUUAAUAUGGGCCGGGUCAAGCUCGGGCUUAGCAUUUUUUUGGGCCGGGCUUGGAUAAAUUUUUAAGCUCAUAUUUUGGGCCAGGUUGGGCCUAGAAAACGGGCCUAAAAUUUUGCCGGCCCGGCCUAGCCCAUGAUCACCUCUACUAAAAACUAUAGGCACAUAAUUAAAAUAAUCCCAAAUCAAUUUAGUACUAUAUUAUAAAAAAAUCAAAUAAAAUCAAAUUAGAAUAAAGUUAACAUUUAUCAUUUAAAAACAACAUUUACUAUUUAGCAGAGGUAACAUUUUUAAAGUUUUUAUGGUUCCCUAAAUGAAAUCUUUUGUUUGAAAUUGAACUGCAAUUAAAAAAAUAUUUUUCAAAAUAUUUUUUAUACGGUAAAUGUUAACUCUAUUACAACUUGAACUUAUAUUAUUCUUUUUAAUAAUAUAUAGACUAAAUUGAUCCAUUGAAUCCCUAUAAUUUAAAACCUCCUAUAUACUUUAACUUAGAUACUAUAUAUUAUAUAUUAUAUAAAGUAUUUUCAAAAUAAUAUAUACUUGUAAUAUAUAUACAACAAUGAUAUAGGAAAAAAAUGUAAUAUAAAAUUGAAGAGAGGUGUCUACAUUUAAAUCACACAACUAGUCAAAAAUCAUUCGGUGGUGUCAGUAUAUAGGUAUUUUUCAGUACUCUAUAUAUAGACACCAAAAUCAAAAGUAAGUUCAUUAAGUCCGAGUUAAUGUUUGUUCGUUUAGUGAAUAUGUCUAUACAUCUAUUUUAAUUUGUUAAAAUAAUUUGAGUGUAGACACAGUAUUCUAAUAUGAGAUAAAAGUAUUGUGUCUUGAAAUUAACAAUUAUUAAUUGUUUUACAAAUAAAUUAUUCUUUAAAAAUUUAUAUGAAAUACAUUUUUUAUAAUUUUAGGUAGAGCUAAUCUUUUAUGACUUGACAUGAAUUAACAAGAUUAAAAAUCAAAUCAUAUUUGAAAUUAAUAGUAAAACGUAUAGUACUCUUAAAAAAAUUUUGAGUUUGAACUUUUAAAAUGACAUCGUUGAAAGAAUAAUCACAAAUCUAAAACAAUUAAUCUUCAGAUAUCAUAAAACUAAUUGAAGAACAUAAUAUUCUAAAAAAUAAUAAAAAAUUAAAUAUAGUUUAUCCAAACUAGCACUCGUUAAAGACAGUUACUUAUACAAAGAAAAUCAGAUAAGAAUGUUAAUGAUUAAUUCGAUAUCAAAUCAAAUGUGAAAGACUACGUGUUAGACUCAUUUGACUGAUUAAAUUAAUACAACUUAAAAUGGUUUUAGAUAGUUGAGAUGAGAGAGGUAAAUUAGAGUUUGAAGAUGAAAUGGUAGGAUAUAAGGUGGGAUUGAUAAUAAGUGAUUGAUUCAUUUAUUGAUACUCCAAGUGGAGGUUUUCAUUAAAGGGAUUAAAAAGAUUAGAAUGGAGGGCAGAGAUUAAAUCCAAAAACAUCAAAUGGUACAUGAAGCUUCCAUGGAAAUUUCCCCUGAUUUUUUAAUGGAUUUAUAUCUAAUGUAUACUAUAAUCGUUACUUUGGACAUGUGAAGACUUCACUUGGAGUCCAAAAAAACAAACUAAAACCACCAAGACUUGGACUCCACUCCACUACCUCUCUUCUUCUUCUUUUAUAAUAAAAAAGUAUACUAUUGAAUUUUAAGAAAUCUUUCUCUCUUUAUUUUUAGAUUUUAAAAAUAAAAAUCUAAUUAAUUUUUUUUAAAUUUAAUACAAAAACUUUAAUCGCGUUAUCUAUUGGAUAUGAUUUUUUAAAUUUUAAAAAGUAGACAAAUUAAAUUCUUAAAAAUUAAAGUUUGAGACUAAAUUUCAAACGUACUAAAAAUAUAAGGUCUUAUAGCAUAUUUUAACCUUUUAAAAUUUAUACCAAAUCCUUAACUUUUUUUUUUGUUAAUUUAUAAACAAUUUUGGUUUUUCUUAUUUAAAAUGAAACAAAUGACUAAAUGCAUAUAAUUAUAAUAAAAUGCAAAUACUUAUUUAAAUUCAUUUUUAAUUUUAUGGAUUAAUUAUAAAAGUUAUUUUAAUUAAAUUUUUUAUUUUUAAAGUUCUUUAAAAUAAUUAUUUUCAAAAUUAUUCAUAAUGUGAUAAAAAAUAUUACUUUUAUUUUAAAAAACUAUAUAAUAAGAAAAAUAAUAUAAUGUAUCAUUUUAUUUUCUUUUUACCACUUUCUAAAUAUCAUAUUUUCCUGUUAAAUGUGUAUUAACCUGGUUUGUAUUAGUAUUGUUGUCAAUAUAGGAGGAUAUGAGUUUAAGUGUAUUAAAGUGCAUUUAUCUUUCUAUUUAAGGGUUAAAAAAAUAUGAAUAAUUCUAAAUAUUGUAUCAAUAUAUAUAACACCUUUCUCCGAAGGUAUGAUAAUGCAUAACUUAAAAUUUAAAUAUAACCUUGGGUUUUGAGUAUUUGAAUAGUAUUUUCUAAUUUAUUGAACCUUAAAAUUUAAAAUAAUUGAAUGAUUAUAUGUAUAUAUAUAUUAGAAACUCUAUCACACGCAAAAACUAUGUAUUUAGAAUAUAAAUUUGUAUUUUAAAAUAAUAUACAAUAAAUAAUUAAAAGUAUGAUUUGAAACUAAUUAAUAAUAACACAUGAAAUAUGUUCAAUGUUAAAAAAAAGAUUAAAUUGUAAGUAAAACGAUUUUAAACAUAUAAAUACAACAUAGUGUUGUCGUGAUAUUGUUAUCAAUUCUAAGUUGAUGUCGAGUUAAUUUCUGACACCAUCUUAACAAAAAAUUUAAAUUAAAAUAUAUAAAAUACAUCAAAAUAAAGUUUUGGUUGAGUCAUCAAUUUAAGACUUUACCAAUUCAAUUAGUACGAAUUCAAAUUCCACAAUAUGCAUAUUUUUAUUUUUAUUGAUUUUUGUUAAAAUAAAAAAGACUAAAGUAUAUUUUGAUCAUUUCCCUCAAUGAGUUGAUACUCGAUUGAUUCAUGACAUCUACCCAGUUAGGAGCUUAAAUAAUAUUAUAGAUAUAAUGAUAAUAAAUUUUAUAAUUAAAAUAAAAUUAUAUAAAACAUAAUAAAUGAGACUUUAGUUGAACAAUAAAUUUAUUUUUGUCCAAUGCAAUUGUAGUGGCGAUAUACAUAUUUUUAUUUUUAUUAGGUUUUUUUAUAGAUAACUCUAUUAAGGAAGUUUACUUUCUGACAAUUGAAAACUACAACAAAUUCAUUUGGUCUAUUGUUUAAAGUUGUUGCUGUACAAGCCCAUUUUGCCCGGGCCCAUACCAACAAAACAGAUACACUAGGCCCAACUAAUCCAAACAAACCCAAAAUUUUCAACCUAGCCCAAAAUAAAAAAAAAAGAGACCAAUGGCCCAAACGGCCCAAAACAUAAACAAAUUUCAGCAAAAAGAAAACCCUAGGGUUUCCCUGCCUCUCCAGCGCCGCGCCACCUGCUACCAUGUGCGUCUGACGCCUCCUGCCACCGCCGUACGGUCACCUACAAACACGCAAGAAGAAAAGCAGAAGCAAACAAGACUAGACAGAAAAAAAUUUAGCUUUCUCUGGCUAUAAAGCCGAAUAUUGUAAAAUGAAUAAGGGGAUUUUCUUUGAUUUUUCUUUUUCCUUUUCGGCAAGAGCCGAGUUUACUGUAAAAGAAGAAGAGUUUUCUCUUCUUUCAUUUGGCUAUGAACAUUAAGGAAAAUAAAAAAACCAAAAUAGAUUUUUGAAGGUGACUUUUUCUUUUUUUUUCAUAUUUGCGUUUCUGCUUGUUUAUUUUAUUUUAUUUUAUUUAUUUUAUCUUUUACAUAAAAAAAUGAGAAAAAGGGAGAAAGGGGCUUACAGAGGACGAACGUGGCUGCGCCAUCGGAGGGUUUCUCCUCCGUCGCCGAUUCGGAUCCAAAAGGGGCUGAGAGUUCCCCUCUUUUCUUUGUUGUUUUCGUGGGUUGAGAGAUCUGGGAUCUCAAGGACACCGUGCGAAAGGGGCAUACAGGCCAUUUCGCGACACCGGCCACCGUGUACGGUGGCACUAAGGCAGAGACCAUGGCCGGAGUUGGGGUUUGAGAGAGAAAGAGCCCAAAGCUCUCUGAAAUUUUUUUUUUUAAUGGGAGAUGAAUCUGUUUUUUUUAGGUUUUUUUUACAUUUAUAUCAAAUGAAAAACGGCGCCGUUUUAGCCCCCAUGACCCGCGCGUGACCCGACCCGCUCCAGGGGGGAUCCGCGCGUUUUUAUAAGAUGGUCUAUUUGCGCAAUAAAUCCCUCCGCCUUUGCAGUGUAUUCACUUUGGUUCCUUUAUUAUUUUCAAUUUCGGCCAUGAAUUUUCGCGUCUGUUUCAAUGUGGUCCAUAGAUCAUGUGCAGGAAUUAGGCUGGAACGGCGUCGUUUGGUCAACGUAGGGAUAUUUCCCCCUUGGUCCCUUCCUUUUGACGCGCAUUUUACUUCAGUCCUUUUCGCUUUUUCUUUAUUUCCGAAUUUACCCGAUAUCUUCGUUUUUAUUUCAAUUUAGUCUGUUUUUAGCUGUUUUAUUGUUUAAUUAAUUAUUUUAAUAAUGUUAUUAUUAUUACUAUUUAUUAUUAUUAUUAUCAAUUUUGUUUCCCUUUUAUUUAUUCAUUACUAUUGGUAAUAUAUUAAUUACCUUUUUUAUUUUAGCUUUAUAUAUAUAUAGAUAUUUACAUUGUAAUAGCCCGAUUUUAGGCCUAGUCGGAAUAGUGGUUUCGGGACCACAAAUCCGACGAGAAAAAAAAAUGUAAUGGCCUGAAUUUUCAGAGGUGUCGGAACAGUGAUUCGAGAUCACUAAAUUCGACAAAUGGGUAGAAAAUAUUAUUAAUUUAGUAAGUAUAAGUUAAAUGUGAAGUUAGGAAAAUUUUUGAAAUAGUGAAUAGUACACUAGAAAUAAAUAUUAAAAUAAUUAGAAUCGAAAUGAGGUAUCAAGACCUCGGGGAUUUUAAACCGAGCCAUAAAUAUUUUUAUAAAUAUUUAUGGAGUGUUAAAAAGUUAGUAUUAAAGUUUCGUUAAGAAAUUUUAAAGUUCCGAUAAUUAAUUGAGCAAAAAGGACUAAAUUGUAACAAAUGCAAAAUUUUGGGAAAUGAUUAAAUAGUUUAAAUGAUAAAAGGAAGAGGGCUUAAAAGGCAAAUAGACCCAAGGUCUAUUUGGGCUGGACGGCAAAGGCAUGAAAUCAACAAGAAAGUGAGAAGAAUUAAGGGCAAAAUUGGAAUAUUGCAAAAUUUGCUUAAUAAAGUUAGGACCAAAGAGGAAUUAUCUAGAUUUCUCUUCAUUUUUCUGAAUUCUCAUCAGCUAAAACACCAUGGAAGGGCUUCUUCAAGCUGGUUCUUCAUAUUUUUAUUACAAGUAAGUUCAAUUCUUGACUAUUAAAUGAAAUUUUAUAACUCGGUUAAAUACGUUUACAAGUGCAUGUGUUUUGGUAAUGCCUCGUACCCUAUUCCGGUAUUGAAUACGGGUAAGGGGUGUUACAUUUAGUGGUAUCAGAGCUACGGUUUAGUCGGUUCUCGGACCAAACGUAGCAUAUGUGAGCCUAGCUAUAGAUGCCACGUUAUUACUCUUGAUGAUGUGAUAUCUCCGGGCUCUAACAAAAUUGCUUUGUUGAGACAGUGAUGAUUUUCAAUCGAGCUAUUUUCGAUAAUGCUGAAAAUGAUAUUGAGAUAAAUGAAAUAUGCUCACGUUAUGUUGGAAUUUGGAAAGGUAAGUAUAAAAAUUUGUGAUAUGGAUGUGUUCAUGUAUGAAAAGAGAUGACCAUAAGUUAAAAAAAAAAGUUUAUGUUGUGAUAAGCUCAUCCAAGUAUGUUGGUGAUUAUAUAAUGCUAUGUGCUCAACAUAUUUGAUUAAGUGAAUAUGAUAAGCAAAUUUACUUAAAUAGAUGGAACGUGUGUAUGUACAUCUGCUUGAAUAAGUGAAAUCAGUAUGUUCAUAUGAUAGAAUCUUAUGUUUAAUUGUUAAAUUAAAGAUAAUAAGAUAUUUUGUUUUAUGUCUUUAACCAUGAAUAUUAUAAUAGUAUGAAAAAAAUUGAAUUGGAAGUCAAAUUGAGUAGAACGCAGGAAUGAGUACUUUCGUUCAGUGAUAUGUGAUGAAUUGACUGAAAAGACCAUGGUUUGACCAUGGCAACAUGUGAACAUGUGAUUAUGCGAUUCCGUAUAAGACCAUAGCUGGGCUAUGGCAUCGGUAAGUGAUAUGUGAUUUCGUGUAAGACCAUAGCUGGGCUAUGGCAUCGGUAUGUGAUUUGUGAUUACGUGUAAGACCAUAGUUGGACUAUGGCAUCGAGAAAACGAAGUACUCAAUUCCGUAAGACGUUCUCUAAUUUGACAAAUGUCGGUAAGUAAAAUAGAAGCCAAGUAUUGGAAUUUAAUUAGAUAUUAAUAUUGAGCUCGAGUAAGUAAAUUCGUUGUGUGAAAUUGUGAGUGACAGAAAACAUUUGUAAUAAAUAGAUGUGUUAACUUGCUUGGAAUGAAUUACGUGGUUAUGAUGGUAUUACAUUGAUGAUGAAUACAAAAUCAUAUAUAUAUAUAUGUAUCUAUGAGAGCAAGUUGAAAGAUUUAUGACUUCACCAUCACCCCCUUAUCAGUAUUGUUCUAUGACGAAAAUUAUCUUGAUGAGACAGAAAUGUUUUUCAACUGAGUUAAUUCUAAUAGUAUAAAAAUAAACACUAAAAUGUUUGAGUGAAAAUGUAUUGAUUGUGAGUUGAAACUCAUAAAGGUAUGGAUCAAAGAAUAAAACAUUUUUUUUAUUGAUAAAUGUUAUAAUUAUACAAGCAUAUGAGUUAUGAUAUUUGGAUUAUGAUGCUAUAUAGAAAUUUUGAUUGUGAAUUAGUGAUUUGAGUUAGAAUUUUGUGUUGAGAACAAAAGUGAUUAAAAACAAAUGUUUAUUAAAUGCUUUGAGAAUGUGAACUUAGUAAUGAAUUAGCUAUUUGUGAUGGUAUGUGUUAUGCACAUUUAUGUGUAAGAUAAAUUUGAGGCUUUACUACACUCACCCCCCAUAUUAGUAAAAUGUUACAAUGAAAUUUUGAGAUUUUGGUUGAAUAAGCUUACGAGUGUAGUGUUACAGAAGUUCGUGUACGGGAGAUUAAUAAUGUGGUCGGAAAAGUGAAUGAAUUAGCAAAUGAGGACAAUAUAAAAAGAGAGAAAUAUUUGAUAGUUCUGAAAACUACUCAGAUUAUCAAAAUGGAUAUCAUUCUAUAUGGAUUGUAAUUUUUUGAUACUUUGUGUAGCUUCAGAUGCUGAAAUAUUGCUAUCCUGAUUUACUUAUGAAUCUAUGUGAUUAUCUGUAAAAGAUAUGAAAAUCCAAAAUCAUGUGUGAAUUUGAAAUGUACUGUGUGGAAGUAAAUCAUUAACCUACCAUCUGGUAAGAUUUUCGGGGACGAAAAUCCCUAAAGGGGGGGAGAGUUGUAAUAGCCCGAUUUUAGGCCUAGUCGGAACAGUGGUUUCGGGACCACAAAUCCGACGAGAAAAAAAAAUGUAAUGGCCUGAAUUUUCAGAGGUGUUGGAACGGUGAUUCGAGAUCACUAAAUUUGACAAAUGGGUAGAAAAUAUUAUUAAUUUAGUAAGUAUAAGUUAAAUGUGAAGUUAGGAAAAUUUUUGAAAUAGUGAAUAGUGCACUAGAAAUAAAUAUUAAAAUAAUUAGAAUCGAAAUGAGGUAUCAAGACCUCGGGGAUUUUAAACCGAGCCAUAAAUAUUUAUAAAAAUAUUUAUGGAGUGUUAAAAAAGUUAGUAUUAAAGUUUCGUUAAGAAAUUUUAAAGUUCCGAUAAUUAAUUGAGCAAAAAGGACUAAAUUGUAACAAAUGCAAAAUUUUGGGAAAUGAUUAAAUAGUUUAAAUGAUAAAAGGAAGAGGGCUUAAAAGGCANNNNNNNNNNNNNNNNNNNNNNNNNNNNNNNNNNNNNNNNNNNNNNNNNNNNNNNNNNNNNNNNNNNNNNNNNNNNNNNNNNNNNNNNNNNNNNNNNNNNUGAAAUCAACAAGAAAGUGAGAAGAAUUAAGGGCAAAAUUGGAAUAUUGCAAAAUUUGCUUAAUAAAGUUAGGACCAAAGAGGAAUUAUCUAGAUUUCUCUUCAUUUUUCUGAAUUCUCAUCAGCUAAAACACCAUGGAAGGGCUUCUUCAAGCUGGUUCUUCAUAUUUUUAUUACAAGUAAGUUCAAUUCUUGACUAUUUCUUGAAAUUUUUGUAUUUUUAUGACUUUUACAACUAGGCCCACUUGUUAAAUUUAUUAGUUUUUGAUUUUAUGAAAGAAGUUGAAAGUUGAUAUGAAUAUGUGCUGGAAUUAUAUGAUGAUUUAUCAUGAAAUUAGAGCUUUAAAUUGUUCAUAUGCUGAUUUUAUUGAAAGAAUUGAAUAGAAAGUGAAUGUUUGGGACCUAAUAGUAAAAGAGUUUGAAGAUAGAGUUAUAUGUGGAAAUUCUGGAUUUCAAUAGUUGAGUAACAACUUAUAAUGUCUAGGUAAAGUAUUAAUUGAGAAAAUCAGAUUAAUUGAGGGGUUAAUUGAGAAAGGACCGAAUUGUAUAAACUGUGAAAUUUGGGGCAAAAUGGAAAUCAACAUUUUGCACUAAAGCAGUUUUAGACAGCAGCAGUAGUGUAACUUUGAAAAAUCACCAAAAAUUUUAUAGAUUGAAUUAGAGGAUGAAUAAAAUAUGAAACUAAAGCUUAUUGAGUCUAGUUUCUUAUAAAAGAAAUGGUGUGAGCAAUGGAAUUGUAAAUCAUAAGAUAUAAUAGAUUUUGUGAGACAAUGUCAGAAUGAAUUCGGGUUCCCCUGUUCUGACUUUGUAAAAUCAUUAAAAAUCGUAAAAAAAUUAUUAUGAGUUAUAAUUUAUAUGGUUAGAAUCCUUAAUGAGUCUAUUUUUAUAAGAAACAAACUAAAACAUCAUCCAAAUUCUGUACAAUGAGAUAAUUAAUUUUUAGUGAAGAGUGGUCGGAACUGUCAGACAGCAAAACAGGGGAAACUUUAAAGAAUAAACUGUACUAUUUGGCUGAACCAAAAAUUCUUAAAAUUUUAUUAUAUGAAGAUAUGUGAGUCUAGUUUCAGGAAAAAUUAACGGAUCUUAAUUUGGAGCUCUGUAUCUCCGGAUAAAAAUAAUUUAGUGACUCUGACUCGGAUAAACAGUUUUGAAUAUACAUGUGAGUGAAUAGUGAAAUUAUAGCUAAUGUUGUUUAAGUGUGUUAUACACAUUAAGGAUGUGGAAUGGAGAGGAGGAGGAGGAAAAUUGGGAAAUAUAUGAAUGAUUUGUGUAUAAUUGGUCAUAUGCUUGAUUUUAAUUGAUAAACGAUGAAAUAUGAAUUAUACUUAUAUUUGUGCAUUAUUGGUCAUGGUUUAAACUCAUGUGUGAAAAUAAAGUUUAAUAGUCUGUGUGUAUGGUAUAUUCAAUAUAUGAUGUGGCAUGAAAUAAUGUCAUAAAUGGUUUAUGAAUUAACACAUGUUGGUAAGCCUGAUAUAUGAAUAAAUGAUCAAAUUGAGCGGAACGCCGGAUUUGAGUACUUCUGAUCAAGUGAUAAAGUGAUAAGUGGUAGCAUUAGCUACACUUAUCUGAUCAAGUGAGAAAGUGAUAAGUGGUAGCAUUAGCUACACUUAUCUGAUCAAGUGAGAAAGUGAUAAGUGGUAGCAUUAGCUACACUUAUCUGAUCAAGUGAAAAAGUGAUAAGUGCUACACUUAUCUGAUCAAGAGACAAAGUGAUAAGUGGUAGCUUUAGCUACACUUAUCUGAUCAAGUGAAAAAGUGAUAAGUGCUAUACUUAUCUGAUCAAGUGACAAAGUGAUAAGUGGUAGCCUUAGCUACUCUUAUCUGAUCAAGUGAGAAAGUGAUAAGUGGUAGCCUUAGCUACCCUUAUCUGAUAAAGUGACAAAGUGAUAAGUGGUAGCCUAGCUACACUUAUCUGAUCAGGGACAAGUGAUAAGUGAUCAUAUGUAAGACCAUAGUUAUACUAUGGCAAAGUGAAAGUGAAGUACUCAAUUUUCCGUAACCGUUCCCUAAUUUGAUUAAGGAUGGUAAGUGACAAAUGGGCCCAAAAGAAUUAAAGUAAAUGGAUAAGUGGUAGUGUAUUUAUAUCAAGACGAUGUUGUUAUUCAAGCUAAAAUGAUAUUUUCGUUGCAAAAUUGAGAAUUUCAUAAAUGUGUUAUUGAAUGGUAUAAUCAAUAAACAUUGAGUUAAAUGGUAAAUACGUAUUAGUGUUGAACUUGAUGUCAUUGAAUUGUACGUGAAUUAAAUGGAAAUUGCUAGUGCUAUGAUCUAAAUCGUGAGCAUGAGAAAUUGCGAAUUGAGGGAAAUGGAAAUGAAGCAUUGAAUUGCAUGAGUAUGUAUCGGGUCUCGUAAGCCCUAAUUAUUAUGAUUAUAACAUUUUGAGGAUAUACUGUGAAAAGUUAUAGAAGCAUGUUAAUUAUUUUGAAAGUUUUAAUUUAAAUGAAAUUUUAUAACUCGGUUAAAUACGUUUACAAGUGCAUGUGUUUUGGUAAUGCCUCGUACCCUAUUCCGGUAUUGAAUACGGGUAAGGGGUGUUACAUACAUACUCUUAUACUUUAUAAACUUAAAGUACAUAUACAUAUGUUUUUUUUAAAUUCAUUUAUAUAUGUACGUACCUAUAUAUAUUUGCAUUAUUAUUUUAUAAUAUCUACGCACACUCACAUAUUUUUAUAAUUCAUUUAUAUAUGUACAUACACAUAUUUAUACAUAUUCGUUAUAUUUUAAAAUCUAUUUCUUUUUAUGUAUUUUCUAUAUUUUAUAAUUCAUACACAUAUUUUUAAUGCACAUAUCAAUAUACGUUUAAUUUUUACAAAUACACAUAUGUCUUUUUACUUUUUUAUAAUCUUAUUCAUUUAUUUAUUUAUUUCAUUUUCGUUAUUAAUUUGAAUGAAUGUUUUAAUUUUAUUUGCUCAUAUACAUUGCUAUUUCGUAUAAUAUUGAUUUGUGCUUUUUAUUUAUCUUAUUUUUGUUGCAAUUGUUCGUAUUAUUUUUGCACUAUUGUAUUCAAUAUUGUCUUGUUACGAGUAUUAACAUCGUGUUUUAUUAUUUCAUGUUAGAUUAAUUUAUUUCAACGCAUAAAUUACGAUUUUUGAAUAAGUAAAAUCUCGUGUUUAGAUUUGAGAAUGUCGUACCCUAACUUACUGGGUCUCGAUUUUCACAAUAAAUUUAAAAACACGAAUCUUUUCAAACUCAGGUUUUAAACGAUAUCGGGAAUUAAAAAGGAUCGUGUCCUAACUUACUGGUCGUGAUCCCUUUUUAAUCCAAGAUAGUUAAAUAUCUUUUAAAUAAGCAUUUUUAUUCGCGUUUCGGGAAUUCCAGACAUUGUGUCCUAACUUACUGGAUAUGAUUCUUUUUUCUCGAUUAACGUAAAAUAUGCUACUUUUCCCAAAAAUUUUUAUUUUAAUACAAGGAUCGUAUUUUUAAAUUUCUUUAAAAUUUUCAGUUUUUCAACACUAAGACAUUAAGUAAUCAACUAGGUACCAAUUUUGGGCGUAUCGAGGGUGCUAAUCCUUCCUCGUGCGUAACAGACUCCCGAACCUAUUUUUCUGAAUUUCGUGGACCAAACUUGUUGUUUUAAUUAAACCGUUUAUUAAAAACAACCGCUUUUACGAGGUGACCCAAUCACACCUCAUCGAAAAGGAUUGGUGGCGACUCCCUUUUUUUCGUUUUCGUCAAAACCCAAGUCGACCCCUUUUUCCAUCCAAAAAAUGGUGUCAACAGCUUGGCGACUCCACUGGGGACAAAAAAAUAAGAGAGUCGAGCCAUGUGUUGAUUACAUUGUCUUUUUGUCAAAGAUUGAAAACUUGACACGAUCCUUGUGUUGCAUUUCAUUCGUAUUUAUUUCAGUCUUUAUCAUUUUGUUUAUAAUUACUGCAUUUAGAUGUAUAUUUCUGCACAUUGCAUUGCAUGACCGUUGGUCACACCCUUUUAAGUGGGAGUGAGAAACUACGCCUUCGUGAGGUUUUCACCUUCGCAUGGGAUAGUGAAUCGCUUUCGGGAUACAUCCGUACCUAUGUCUUCGUGAGAUUUUCAUCUCCGCAUGGCCAUAGGGAAAUGUAUUCCCCUGAACCGAACUCAGUCCGUAUGAGCCUAUAAUGGGUGAUGAUCGAGGAAUCUGCUGGUUCAGGUACCCUUACUUUAGAAUCGAACCGCAUAUAUGAGCCUUAAGAGCCUACCCUAGGUAGAACCACACUGAAUGCCUAGAGGUCACCCGAAAGCUUGGUUCAAAUCUACGAUCAUUUUGUUGUAUGUUUGUCCGUUUUUGUUACGAUUAUCAUUACUUCGGUUUGUAAUUGCUCUAUUGGUUUGAAUUUUGAUAUAUUUCUGCAUAUUGCAUUACAUAAUCGCUCGAUUAUCCCCUUUUAAGUGGGAGUGAGAAACUAGUCCUUCGUGAGGUUUUCACCUCCGUGCAGGAUAGUGGAUCGCUUCCGGAAUACAUCUGUACCUAUGUCUUCGUGAGAUUUUCGUCUCCGUGCAGCCAUAGGGAAAUGUAUUCCCCUGAACUGAACUCGGUCUGUAUGAGCCUAUAAUGGGUGAAGAUCGAGGAAUCUGCUGGUUCGGGUACAUUGACUUUAGACUCAACCCUCAUAUAGUAGACUUAGGAACUUAACCUAGGUAGAGCCACUCCAAACCCCUAGUAUCUACCUGAUUAGGUACUUUUUUGUUUUCUGUGUUUGCUUAUGUUUUGUACUAACCCCUCUUGUUGUGUUUUGAUUAUCAUUGCACUAUGACCCUUAAACUUUUUGAAAUUUCACUUUAACCCCUCAACUUUUUAAAAUUACAUUUUGACCCCAAAAUUUUCUCAAAAUUACACUUUGGCCCCAGAAGUUUUGCUGUGUUUGCAAUUUGGUCUGUCUGGCAUCCACAGUGCAAGUUGCGCACCUAUACUGCGACAGCCGACCUAAAGCAUGGCCUCUCUCUCCCCUAGCCACUUGCUACCUGCAAAAAAGGAAGAGAAAUCAACAAUUUAAAAGGGUUUUCAAACCCCCAAUUUGGGCAGCGAAGAAAGGAAGAAAAAAGAAAAAAACAACAAAAUUUUUGAGAGAAAAAUCAAGCAAAAAUAGCAGCCUCAUCGCCACCGUGCGUCGUCGAACCGCCACCACCGUCAUACUCCCAUCUACCACCACCAAAGAAAGCAAAUCAAGCAAAAAAAAUCAUCAAAAAAAAUACCCACGAAAAAAAAAGCAAGCAAAGAAGAAAAAAAGAAGAAAAGGGAGGAGCGUCGUCGGCCGUCGCACCACAAGCGGAAGAAGCGUGGGCAGCAGUAGAGAAGUCGGUGGGGGGGCUGAACGAAGAAGAAAGGAAAAAGAAGAAGAAAAAAAAGAAAGAAAAAAGAAGAAGAAGAAAGAAAAAGAGAAAGAAAGAAGGAAGAAGAAGAAGAAGAAGAAGAAGAAAGAAAAAGAAAAAAGAAAGAGAAAAAAGGAAAAAGGAAAAAAAUAUUUUAUAUUACACUCGGGUCAACCCGACCCGACUGGCGUGACCCGACAACCCGAAGACUCGACCCGACCCGCGAUCCGACCCAGAUCUGAACCCAGCAACCCCCCCCAAAAAGGGGAAAACAGGCCUAAAAAAAGUAGCCCAGAAAAAAAAAAGAAGAGCAGGCCAGCAGCAGCCCCAGGCCCAGACCAGUGCAGCCCAACAGUAGUGAAGCAGGCCCAAUUGCGGCAGCCCAGUACCAGCAGUAGCCCAGCAAGCAGCUAGCAAGCCAGCCCAGCAAAAAAAGAAGAAAAAAGGAAAAAUAAAAAAAGCCCAAACAGCCCAUAACUUUGGGUUUUGGUAAAUUCUUGAACUUUUAAUUUUAUCUAAAUAUUUAAAUGCUGUCCCGGUUUUAAUAUUAUUGCAUAUUUUUAAGUAUUUUUUAUUUUAUAUUUAUGUUUUUUUAAUUUUAUUUUAUUUUAUUCGUUAAAUUCGAACAAUUUUGACGCAUGAGGCCACGAACCGAUUUAGCAUUAAGUCAUUGAUUUCAUCGCUACGUUGGGUGAAUAUCGAUGGCUCGUGUUAAAUACGGGACGCCCUUUUUAAGAUUGAAGGAAAAAAAUCAAAAAUAUUAAAAAAUCCUCGUGUUUAAAAAAAAUUUGUGUUUUAAUAGGAUCACGAUUAAAUAUUAAAUUCAAUCGGUUUGACACUAAUUCGUCGAUUUCAUCGCCAUGUUGGGGUGAACAUCAUCGAUUCGUAUUAAAUACGGCACGUUUUUAAAGAAAGAAAAAUUUUGUGUUUCAAAUUUUCGUGUUUUCAAAAAUUACUCGUAUCUCAAAAAUUUUUGACUUUUCGCAUUUUCAAAAGUCUUCGUGUUUCAAAAAAAAUUUCGCGUUUUUAAAAAAAAAUCUCUCGUAUUUCAAAAAUUGUCGCGUUUUAAAAAAAUUUCUUGUUUUCAAUAAUUCUCUUGUUUCACAAAUUUUCGUGUUUUAAAAAUUUUCGUGUUUUCAAAAAAUUUACCCUGUUUUCAAAAAUUCUCGUGUUAAAAAAUUUCGUGUUUUAAAAAAAAAUCGUGUUUUCAAAAAAGUUAUUGUGUUUCAAAAUUCUCGUGUUUUCAAAAAAAAAAUCUCGAGUUUCAAUCGGAUCAUGAUUAAAUAUUAAAUUGAAAUUGUAUUUUUGAAAAUUAAGACAACGCGCGUUUAACGAGAUACCAAUUUUGGGCGUCGCGAGGGUGCUAAUACCUUCCUCGCGCGUAACUGACUCCCGAACUCUAAUUUUCUCUAGAUUUUCACGUAGACCUAAAAUCACCUCUUUUUUAGAAAAAAAUUAAAAAUAAAUUUUUUUCUUUUUUCUUCUGAAAAGAGAAUUUAUUAGGUGUCUGAUCACACCUAAAAAAGAUCAGUGGCGACUCCUUUUUCAAAUAAAAUCGAGAUUCUGUUUUCAAAAUUGCAAUAAUUACUUCGAGUAGCGCCCGUACCGAAAUUUUUAGGUCGCUACAUUUAUGACUUGUGUGUCAUGCAUAUGGAAUAAGUGUGGAAAGUAAAGAAAUGCAAAUGAAAAUAAAGAAAUUUGGAAGAGUUAAAGUUAUAUAAAAUCCUACUAAGCUUGGGAUAAUAUGUAUAAGUGAUGCUGUGGAUUUAUUCACCUUGUGAGUUGAUGAAUAUAGUUUCAUGAGUAUUGUGGUAUCAAUAUUGGAUUAUUCUUGAUAUGUACAGAUUUCAUAUUUGAAAUGAAUUAAUAUGAUUAAAGAUUACACGAGCUUACUAAGCAUUCAUUGCUUACAUAUUUGUUUUUAUUUACCCUACAAAUUAUCGGAAGCUCGAACGGGUUGGAAGCUUGUCGGAGUUAUAUCACACUAUAAAUUGAUUCUAUCGGUAAUUUUAGAUGAUUUGAUUCUAGUUAUAUAAUUACAUGUAUAAGUUAAUUUGGCCAAUGUUGGCUUAUUAAUGUUUUGUUAUAUCUAGCCAUAGGGAUGGCUAGUGAUGAACAUGUUUUGAUGUGCAUAUGAGAGGCUAUAUCAUGUUAGAUGUGAGUGUUUGGUAUGCUUGAAUGAUGAUAAUCUUAUAGGUAUGUUAAUACUUAGUACAAGUAUGCAUAUAUGUGAAUUUGGUCAAUUUGAUAAGUUUGAAUACUAGAGGAUUUGUGAUGAUCAUAUAUGUAUAAAACUUGGUUUUAGCUUGAUUUGAAUACUAUAUGAUGUGAAAUAUCCGUUUAUUUGAUCUGUAGAUUCCGAUAAUGCUUCGUAACUCUGUUCCGGCGACGAAUACGGGUUAGGGGUGUUACAGUUUUGACAGUAAAAUUUUAAUGAGACACAUUAUCUAUCAAUAGACAUCCAAGGGAAGUGUUAUAAAUAUUUUAUUAUUAAGUGGAUGUUUACUACGAUCAAGAUAAGUUUGAUAUACAUUAGGACUCUAAUGUUUAUAAGAAGUAGAGUUUUAUAUUAUUUAUAUUUCUUAUGUCUAUAAAUAUAAAAUUUGGAGAAAAUUUGGAGAUGCAUUACAAAUAUCAUUAUUGAUUCAUAAAAAUAAAUUAUUUUUUACUUUUCUAUUAUUUAUUAUUUAUUAUUUAUUUCAUAACAUAUUCAUUAUAGUAAUUUUAAAACAAAUUAAAAUAAUAAAAAAAUAAAAGCGACGUUGAAGUCUUUGUUAUCCAAGCUUAAGUAAUCUAAAACUACAUUACUUAAGUUGAAAAAAACACUUAAUAUUAAACUUAUAUUUAUAAAAAUGUAUUCAAUAAUUGAGUAAUGAUAGAGAGGUCAGUCAUUUAUAAAUAAAUUUUAUUUCGCUUGAAGUUUAAUAUUUAAAUAUUUUAAUUUUAGUUAUCUUAUUUAACAUUUCAUAUAAAAAUAAUGAAAAAAAUCAUAUAUUAAUAUUUAUUUCUUUAUUAAAAUAUGGUUUUUAAAUAAAUUUUUUGGCUAAGUUAGAAUUAAAUUGACUCAUAACACAAAUUUUAAUAAGACGCAUUGCAUUACUAAAAAAAGAUGUGGAUUCAAAUUUAAAUAUUGAAAAAUAAAAAUACAAGUCUUGAAUAUAAACUAUAAAAUAAACAUGCAAAAUUAUAAAAUAAAAUAAAAACAAUACAUAUACUAUGGGCAGUGGCAAAAUCAGAAAUUUUUUUUAUGAGACUGAAAUUAAAUUAUAACUUUUACGACGAUAAAAUUAUAAUUUUACUAUUUUAAUAGACUAUAUCUUUAUAAUUUUUAGAGGAUUAAAUCAAAUUUUUAUAUUUUAAGUGGGUCAAAGUGUAAUUUUAUUUUUAUUGAUUUAAAAUUUCAAAAAUUUAAAUUAAAAAUUUUUUAUUUUAAGAGACGGGUCGCUGUCGGUAAGCAUUGGUUAAAUAAAAUAAAAUAAAAGAAUAAAACGACGUUGCCGUUGGUAUCUCUCAUUCAAUUACCCCACUUCUAAAAUUUACCGUGUGGAAAAAGUCAUUGAUAGUUAUUGUAGUGGACAAUUAAUAAAUACAAAAAAUUAUAAUUUAAAAUAUAACAUUGUUUUAACAGGGAUAUGAAUGAUCAUAUCACUUGACGCACUGAGAUAAAAAUCACGGAUUCAAUAUUUUUUCCCUUCCCACCCAAAUAAAGUAAUAACUAAUAUAUUCUACCCCCAGAAAAUCAGAAAUGUGUUACCAGUACUCUUCAUCCAUCCAGGGUUAAUUAAAUUUGGGGAAGACAUUUAUCAAGAAAGAAAUUGAGUUAUGAAUAAUUUAAAAAAAAAGGAUAAGUACUAUAGAAUAGGCUACGGUGAAGAUGAGUACUAGAGACGUUGGUGGACGACAGCUACGUCAGGGUUACGCUAACCUAACUCAUAGACACAGCUUUGAAUCUUCAAACAAGCUUUCCUAUAAAAUUGUAACCAAUAUUUAGAUCUUCCCCAAUAUCUUAUUCUAGUAAUAGCCGAGAGAAAAAAAGAAGCAAACGUCAUGGGUUUGAGUUUUAUAUUUAAGAAGCUUGCUCUGGUUGCAGUUACGUUGACACUUACAGCAACUUCAGUGGCAGCUCAAACACAACCAGGUUGUGAAAGCCGCUGCGGGAAUAUCAGCAUUCCUUAUCCCUUCGGUACAGGCGAUGGUUGCAAAAUUAGCAGCGACUUUUUCAUUACUUGUAACACCACUUUCAAUCCUCCAAAAGCAUUCUUAGACACCAGUAAUAUUGAGAUUCUCGACAUCUCUCUGGAUGGUUAUUUGCGCAUAAGUCAAUCCAUAGGUUAUGACUGUUACAACAAAGUCGAGCCUUCAUAUUUUGCUACGUGGAUGUGGUUUUCAAAAUUCUCCUUAUCUCAUACCAGAAAUAAGUUCACAGCCAUUGGUUGUGAUACUUAUGCUUACGUAAAGGAUUAUUUGGGACAUACGUAUUCAACCGGAUGUUUAACGUUUUGUGAUAAUAUUACCAAUGUGGUGGAGGGAUCUUGCUCUGGCAUCGGCUGCUGCCAGACUGCUAUCCCUAAAGGAGUGAGGAGUUAUCAUGUAACGUUUGGUAGUUCUAACAACCAUUCCAAGGAUUGAGCAAUACAUUUUUACAAGGAUGUCCUAGUCUAGAGUGCCACACACUCAGAGGAACAGACGUUUUAGUUGUAAAAUAGUGUGCUGUGCGCAUAGGUUGAGAAUUUCUGAAAGCAUCGGUCAAAUGGAGCUUGUACAGGCCAUGGUGUACUGAUCCUCUAAGAAAUACCUCCUUGGUCCUUAAGUCACGUACCUCGCACUGUGUCGGGAGAAAUUCAAACAUCACCUGGUUGUCUCUUGUGAACUUAGACACAGAUAACAAAUUUUUAGUAAUGCCAAGAGUAUAUAAAAGUGAUUUCAUGUAAAGUGGUCGUGUCCUAGUGAGCAAAUAGGACUGACCAAAACAUAGAACAGGAGAGAGCUACAAUUUCCAACAUACACCUUACUUGGCCCAUUGCGAGAUGGAUUAUCACCAAGAGAGGUAGCAGAGUGAGUGAGAUGAUGCGUUGCCCCAGAGUCAGGAUACCAUGCAGGGCUGCCCACAAUGUCAGGUGUAGCAAUUAACACAUGUGGUGGAGAAACAGUAGUAGAGGAAGGUGAAACCUGUUGUGUGUAGUCACUCAUAUAUGGAUGGGCCCAGUUAGACGUAGGCGCUGACUGAUAGGACCAGUUGGAAGGAGGUUGAACUACCAGGUGGUAUAACUGACACAGCAGAUGGUGUUUAGGGAGAAGGACUAGGUGCAUACAUGCACAUAUUUGCUUGCGAAGAAGGCCUGUAGUUGGUACUUUUGUAAGAUGCAUCAAACUGAUGAUAGCAUCGAUCAACCAGAUGUCCAGUUUUUCCAUAUAACUGGCAUUGAAUACAGGCUCCAGACGAGCGACCACGCACGACCCCGAGAAUUUGAUGCACAAUAAGGUGGUACAAAAGUAUUAGUAACUGACUGCGCAGGUUGUUGAGAAACUAAAUUGGCAGAACUAGGAGUCUCAGCCAGUAUAACCUGUUGUCUAGCUUCAGCAUCAAUUAGCAUAGUUGUGACAUUCUGAACAGUGUAUGAAAGAUGACUAGCAAGAAUGAUUGAAACAAUGGACUCAUAUUCGAACGGUAGCCCAUUAAGGAUAGCAGUUAUAUGCUCAUGUGCACUGAUAUCCUCUCCACAGCUAGCAAGAUUAUCACAGUAGGAUUUGAUUUUCAGCAAAAACUCUUUCAUAGACAUAUCACAUUUUCGUUGAGAGUGUAACGCACGACAAUAUAACAUCAGUCGAGAAGUAGUUUUGCUACCAUACAAUGUUACAAUAGAAUUCCAAAUCUGAGCACUGGUGUCAAGCCCAAUGAGAUGAGGAAGAACAUCUUGACUUACAGAGGACAAAAGCCAGGAAGCAAGAGCGCUAUGUUGCUGUUCGAACCUAGUGAACUCAACAUUUUCUUCAAGCACCCCAUCAUCACCUGGAACCAUCGAAGGGGGUGGUACGGUAUGCAAGUCAAGAAAACUUUGCAGUUUGUAAGCUUUAACAGGUAUGCAAGUCAAGAAAACUUUGCAGUUUGUAAGCUUUAACAGCCAACAGAACCUGUUGCCACCAUAAAAGAUAGUUGGAAUCAUCGAGAAAUAUACUCACUUUCUUGGUAGAGAAGAAUCUGCUAUCAAGAACACCACUAGCAAGAUUAGACGCCAUCGUGGGUGCAGCAGACUGAAUAGCAGAAGGACUCGCUGGUGGAUCCAUGCAACAAGCAAAAAAAACCGAAACUUAAAGCAUCAAUCCCAGGAAGAGAGAGACGUCUGAUACCAUGUUGAAAUAUAACCAAAAAUAUUAUAAAACUGAAGAAGUAUAUUAAACUUUAUUAAGUCAUAUUAAUGACCUGAUACAUGCAUUUAUAGCAAUAGUUGAGAACUGUUUCUUUAACAAACUAACUGCUAUCUUAACAGUCAACUAACUAACUUCCAGAUACUCUAACAAUUUGCGCAUAAGUGAAUCCAUAGGUUAUGACUGUUACAACGAAGUCGAGCGUACUUCAUAUUUUGAUAUGUGGAUGGAGCUUUCAAAAUUCCCCAUAUCUCAUACCAGAAAUAAGUUCACAGCCAUUGGUUGUGAUACUUAUGCUCACGUAAAGGAUUAUUUGAGAGAUACGUAUUCAACAAGAUGUUUAACGUUUUGUGAUAAUAUUACCAAUAUGGUGAAGGGAUCUUGCUCUGGCAUCGGCUGCUGCAAGACGGCUAUCCCUAAAGGAGUGAGGAGUUAUCAUGUAACGUUUGAUAGUUCUAACAACCAUUCCAAUAUGUUGAGCUUCAAUCCUUGCAGCUAGGGAUUUGUUAUGGAAGAUGGAGCCUAUAACUUCUGUAUUUCAGAUCUUUACGACGAAAAUUUCAAGGACAAAGAAUUCCCAAUGAUACUUGAUUGGACAAUCGGGAAUCAAACCUGCUCAGAAACUAAAAUGGAUCAAGAAAAUUAUGCUUGCAAGGAAAAUAGCGACUGCAUAGAUCCGGAAAAUUGUCCUGGAUAUUUGUGCAAGUGUCUUGAUGGUUUUCAGGGUAACCCUUAUCUCUCCCAGGGCUGCCAAGGUAAAGUUACAAUCUUCUCCAUUACGAAUUCAAGUUUGGUGAAUUUAUGUUAUAUAUAUAUAUACAUGGUCAGUUAAAUUCGAGCCAAUAUAUUAUACUGUGCCUAAUUUGAUAUUUCAGUUUUACCCAAUGUGUGAGAAAUUUCAGAUAUUAACGAGUGCAAUACGUUGAAGCCUUGCAAUGGAACAUGUAACAAUGCGCCUGGAAGUUAUAAUUGUUCAUGCCCUGAUGGGUUUGAAGGUGACGGCUUGAGAAAUGGAAUAGGCUGUAGCCCUAAAGUAGUCAUGCCCCACCAUCAGAGCUUUUCUGUUGCUGUAGUUGCAUUAGGUUGGUACAUAUAAACGCUACUAUAGUAAAAUAAUGUUUUAAAAUAAUGUAACUAAUAUAUAUUCUGUUAUGAAAACAGGUAUAGGCGUAGGUGUUUUGUUUUCACUCUUGUGCUUGUCAUGGGUUUAUAUGGGGCUUAGGGAAAGAAAGCUCACCGCAGAGAAAUCGGAAAACUGUCAGCAAAAUGGCGGGAUGUUAAUGCGAGAACAGCUUCCAAAACGGGCUGAAAUGCUUACUACCUAAGAGCCCCAGAUUGGAAUCUCUCCAUUUUCCUAGCAACCAUGAUCGGUGCUUCCCGAUUAAAAAAUAAGUUUGAAUCUUCCAAACAUGUUUUCCUAUAAAUUUGAAACCAAUAUUUAUUUACGUGUCCUUUCAAAAAGUUUAUCUUAGGUUUUAUGUAUUGCCAACAAAAUUUAAAGAGCAUGUUCUGUUUGUAGUUUAACAAUUAUAGUGACUUCAUUGUACAAGAAAAUCGAGUAAAAUUCCUUUUUAAGUUCAUGCACUUUGAAAGUUGUAGCCACAACAUUAAGCUUUAAUGUAUUCAAUUUGUGCACGUAAAUCCAUUCUUUUGCGAGUAAUUUGUUCAGGUUUUACCGAUUUAAAAACAUACUUUCAACAUUUAGCAACAAUCUUUUGUAGUUCUUUUAUUCACUUGAUCAGGUCUAGACUAUGAUCAUAAUGAGAAUAUUAUAUGAGAUUUAGCCCAUUUAAAAGCAUCGUAGAUGGAGAGUGCCUUUAAAUAUGACAGGCUUCAAUUUAGCGAGUUUUGAAUUAGCAUGGCCAAUAGGCUUGAAAGGAAAAAAAGAGCUCCUCCACAUCAAGUUAUAUUUUUCUUGAGAAUACCUCCAAUAUUAGCAUGGCCAGGAUUAUCAACAUUAUACAUAAAUAACUCAAAAAGGAGGAAUAAAAGUUAAUUAUCUCUGAGAUUAAUUUCAUGAACUUUGGGCCAUCUUACAUUCUCCAUCUGAUAAGCUGUCAGCAGAAUAUACUCACUGUUUCUGCUAUAACCAUAUUGGGUGAGUGUUAGGCCUGUUGUGCCUCCACCUAUCCAUUAUCCAUAUGUUGAGUAGAGUUAUGGUUGAGGAAAUUUUUAUUUUCUUUGCUCAAUCCAUCAUCUUCUAGCACCCAUUAGAUUCACCUUUUAUUUAUUAUUAAAAUUUUAAAAUAUUUUGAUUUUUAUAAUUAAAUAAUCAAAUCAAUCUUAAAUUUAUUUUAUUUAAACUCAACCAAAAUUAGAUUCAAUUUAUUGAGUUAAACUGAUAACUUGACCUUUUAUGGUCUACUUGAAAUUUCCAUGUAACUAUUCUUUUCAAAAAUUUGACAGCUAAACUAUUAUAACUAUAGUUUUUAUUUUUGUUGGAACGAGUAUUAUGAUAUAGAUUGGUACUUAGAAAUUUAAGAAAUAAAUUUGUCACGUUUCCAAUGGAUGUUAAAAUAAGGAAGAAGAGAGACUUAAAUUGAUAGCUAUGUCGUUUUUGUUACAAGCCACUUCUCUCUCCAAGCCCGGUCGUAUUGUUACAAUUCAAUUGCCUUGAACAAGUCAUUGAUAGCUAUGCUUGUGAUAAACAGUUGGAAUUUGUAGCAUUUUAGAUUUAUUAAAUUAUAAAAAACUAUUUAUUUUAUAAAUAAAUUUAAUAAAUAAAAAUUCAUCAUUUAACAAAUUUAAAAGGGUUAAAGUGUAAAUUUGUCAUGACACGCUAUAGAUGAAUAUUGAAAUUUGUCACUAUACUUUAUUUUUAUUAUUUGACAUUAUGUUUUGAAAAUAUUAGUAAAUUUAUUAUUCAACUCUUAUGUGAUUUAAUUUUACUGAUAAAUUUUAUCAGCGACUAGUCAAUUAAGAGAUAAAUAAUAAUAAUAUUAGUUUGUGAAAAGAAAGCAAUGGAAUUGUUAAAAACCAAUAUAUAUGUGGAGUUUUACUUUUUGUUUUGAGAAUCAAAUCAUAAUACUUGUGAUUAUAAAAAAAAUAAAAAAAAUGGUCAGCAUCUUAAUAAAGAUGGGUACUAUAUAGACAAACGUUGACCGUAUGACUUCAUUAUUCUACUCCUUCGUAUGGGUUACGCUAACUUGGCUUUGAAUUUUCAUACAUGCAAUUCCUAUAAAUUAGUAACCAAACUGUUAAUCCUAGAUACAGCCGAAAGAGAUUAAUAAAAAAAAAAUUACUCAAUUAAGAGAAAUAAUAAAACUAAGAAUUAAAGAUUAUUUUUCAUCAGAGUGACAAUAAAAUUAAGAGCUAGAAUUUUAUUCAAUUAAGGAAACAAUAAAAUUAAGAGAUAAAUACUAUUUUUCAUAGUAUUUGACGAUAUUGGUCAACAUUAUAGGCGUAGUUAGGGGUUGGCAAGAGCCUCGGCAUUCCUUAAAAUAGAAAGUUUUCUAUUUAGUAAAGGUAAAAUUAUACUUUAGCCUCCUAAAAAUGAUAAAAAAUUUGAUUUAAUCUUUUAAAAUUUAUAAAAAUAUAAACCAAAAUUACAUUUUUUACCAUGUAAAAGACCACCUUAAACAAAAAUUCUGAGUCUCUGCACUUGAUUUGACAAUAUUUGGUGCUCUUGAUUAAGGAAAACACAAAUAUCAAAUUGCUUGAUUUUGUAAACUUAGAUUAGAGUAUUAUUCUGUUUUCUCAUCAGAGUACAAAUCACAAACAAAAGCAUUUUUAAUUUCUAACUUAUUAAUUAACGUAAGUUCAAAUCGUUAAUAUCUAAAUUUUAUACUCAAUGUAAAUUUGUAAAAAAUGAAAAAAAAAAGUACUGAGAUGCAAUAAUGCAAUUCAUUAAAAGAAUCUGCAAUGCAAUGCAUUUAAAAAUUUAUUAGAAGAAAAUAAAAAUUGAUAAAGUUUUGCAGUGCCAUGGAAGAGAUAACUCUAAAAUGUAGUAAAUAAUGUUUUUUUAUAAAAAGGAAUGUUUUUGUGUUUUAUUAUUGAAGAAAACUAGGAAAGUUUAAAAAGGUUUGUAUUAAUUUAGUUUGAUGUGAUUGUUAGAACAUUAUGUAUGGUGUCGGUAAAUCUUUCCCUUAAAAUGAAUAAUCAAGAAAAUAAGAAAUGCAACAAAUGAUAAAUAAAAAAGUUAAUAGUGGAUUGAAAUGUUAAAUUUCAGACUAAAAACCGACAAAGAUUUAGGAGUCGAGUCUACUACUCCUGUAAAUAUCCUGGGGAUAUGUAAUAAAACGAAUGACUAAAACGACCAAGACUUGGAGUCAUGUUCAUGUCGAGGGGUUAGCUGUCCUCAACUACACUAUUAAACUUACCCUGUAAAACAUGUUAAUGUAUGCAAAAGCAAUUACUUAUGCACUGUUCAUCCAUGGAAAGAUAAAUUUAAUUUGGAUGGAAGGUUCCUUUACACCUUUGUGAAUGAGUCAACACAAGACUAAGGAAUCAUGGGCUCACUUUAGUAUGUUACAGUGGGUUUGAAUCUUCAUUCAUGCUAUUCCUAUAAAUUACCACCCAAUAGUUAGAUGUUACCCAAAUAAACGUUUUGACUGAAGAAUUAGUCUUUCCAAUGUGGUACUAUAUGUCAGGAAUAAAUGCCAACAGAAAUAUUCUACGCACGCAUUUGCCUCCAAAAACACGCAGAGAAAUGAAGGCCUCCAUGGGAGAUGAAAGACGAGCUUGGCAUCUCGCAUUUGUUUGCCUGUUACUAGCAGCAGUUGCAGCAGCAGAAUCAACUCCAAUAGCCAAGCUCGAUUGCCAAGACAGAUGUGGGAACGUUAGUAUCCCAUAUCCAUUUGGUACAACGACGGAUUGUUAUCUCAAUGAAGAUUUUUACAUAGCUUGUAAUUCGACUCACUAUGAUCCUCCACGGGCAUUCUUAAGAAGAAGCAAUAUAGAGGUGACAAACAUAACUGUCGAAGGCAAAUUGUGGAUUAUGCAAUUUAUAGCCCGCGAUUGCUACAAUAAAUCGGGCUCCCCAGUUUCCAGCAAGACUCCUUCCAUCACGCUGUCCAAAUUCAGGGUCUCGGAUACUGAUAACAAGUUCGUUGCCAUUGGCUGCGAUACUAAAGCAACCAUUCAAGGUGUUCAAGACGACAAGGCCGGAUACACGAGUGGGUGCAUAAGCAAGUGUGACAGUAUUGACUAUGUGGACAAUUUUACAUGUUCUGGUAUAGGCUGUUGCCAGACAUCCAUUGCUAAAGAUGUACGAUAUUUUGACAUUACUGUAAGAAGCUACCAUAAUCACAAAGGUAUCUGGGAUUUCAAUCCCUGCAGCUAUGGCUUUGUUGUUGAAGAAAAUAGCUUCAAUUUUUCUUCGAAUUAUCUUCGUGAUCUGCAAAAUGUAACCAUGAUGCCCAUGGUGCUUGAUUGGUUUAUCGGGAACGAGACGUGUGAAACGAUAAAGACCAAGAGUUCGGAUGAUGUAUGCCAGGGAGAUAGCACUUGUUAUAACGUGGAUAAUGGAUCUGGAUAUCGUUGCAAGUGCUUGGAUGGCUAUCAAGGAGAUCCAUACCUACCUAAUGGUUGCCAAGGUAUUUUAUUUCUUUAUUUCCACAAAUUCAAUUUCCUUUAUAUUUUCAACAGUCUUAGUUAUUUAGAGGUUAUACUAUACAGUAGCUCCUUUUUGGUGAAAUUGUGGUGGGAAUGGGAUCUAUUCUUUUACAGACAUAGAUGAAUGUAAAGACCCAAAUCUCAAUAAAUGUGAAAAGAUAUGUGAAAAUACAAAAGGAAAUUACACGUGCUUGUGCCCCAAGGGUUAUCAUGGAGAUGGAAGAACAGAUGGUACAGGUUGUGUUGCCAAUCAAUCUGGAGGAUCACUUAUAAUUGAGCUUACUGUCGGUAAGGAGUUCUAUUCGAUUUCAGUCUUACAAGUUCUCUGCUAUACUAUUUAAGCGUCCUUUAAUGCUUAUCUUCUGAGUCUCAAAAUGGAUUCUGAUGACUGUUUUAUGACCACCAUGGAAUAACAGGGCUUGGCGUAGGCAUUACAGUAUUGAUAGCAGGUAGCACUUGGUCGUACUGGGCAUUCAAGAAGUGGAAGCUCAUCAAACUUAAACACAAGUUCUUUCGACAAAAUGGAGGCUUGAUGUUGCAGCAAGAACUCUCCAGGCGGGACUCUUCCACUGAAACGGCUAAAAUUUUCUCAGCUGAGGAGCUGGAGACGGCCACCAACAACUAUGAUGAAAGUAGGAUUAUUGGUCGAGGUGGUUAUGGCACAGUCUACAAAGGAACUCUAUCAGAUGGGAGAACCGUAGCAAUUAAGAAGUCCCAAGUUGUUGAUGAAAGCCAAAUCGAUCAAUUCAUCAAUGAAGUUGUUGUGCUUUCACAAAUCAAUCACAGGAAUGUGGUGAAGCUUUUAGGUUGUUGCUUAGAGACGGAAGUUCCAUUGCUGGUUUAUGAAUUUAUCACCAAUGGUACUCUCUUUGAGCAUAUCCACAACAAAAGCAAGGCUUCUUCCUUGACAUUUGAAACCAGGUUACGUAUAGCAGCAGAAACUGCAGGUGUGCUCUCAUAUCUGCAUUCCUCAGCUUCCAUACCAAUCAUUCAUAGGGAUGUCAAGUCUACCAACAUACUCUUGGAUGAUAGUUACACUGCCAAAGUAUCCGAUUUUGGAGCUUCGAGAUUGGUUCCACUAGACCAAGCCGGGAUAUCAACGGUGGUUCAAGGGACUCUCGGAUACCUGGACCCUGAAUACUUGCAGACAAGUCAGCUGACAGAGAAAAGUGAUGUUUAUAGCUUUG
rnacentral:lncRNA from 1 species